UUUAUUCUAAAAUCAACCAAUUCUAAGAACCAGUUUAAGCAAGCAGGAGCUUGUUUUCAACUUGUAAAGAGAAUUUUGGCUACUUGUGAGGAUCAGAGAAAGCUAGGUUGUAUUGUGGUAAGGGAGCAAGGGGGCCUAAAUGGAUAAGAAACAAGAAAUACCUAGAACUGGUCAGUGUCCAGUCCAGUUGUACAAGUGAGCUGGUGAGUGUUGUCAUGUGGACAUGAGGGCUGUUUAUGUUUCUUUGUGGCCUCUUGUCAUUCCCUUCCAUUCUCAUUCUAGUCCUUACUGACUAGAGUCAUUUUAAAUACCUAAACAAAAUAUAUGAAACCACGUCCCCAGAAUAAAGAAGCCAAAGUGUUCCUUGUGAUAUCUGGGGAUGCUCUGUCUAACCUUUGUGCAUUAACCUGCAAGAGGCUUAAAUAGCAAACUCUUUUCUGGCUCGAGCAGCUUCAGUGAAUAGUUCCUUUUUCACAUUAAGAAUCUCUCUCUCUCUCUCUCUCUCUCUCUCUCUCUUUCUGUGUGUGUGUGUGUGUGUGUGUGUGUGUGUGUGUGUGUGUGCCUGCACGUACUAGUAUUUUGGUGGAAGAAGGUAAAAUGUAUUCAUGUUCCUAAACUAGCUAAACACAAUUCUAAACAUUUUCUAUUCAGCCAAAUGACCUUGACUUUCCUGGCUGGAAAAGAACCCUGCCUGCAAAUCAUGACAGCUAAGGUCUGUGGAGGACAACAAGUUUCAACCUAAAACACUCC